UACAGAGGGGGCAAGCGUUGUUCGGAAUUACUGGGCGUAAAGGGCGCGUAGGCGGCCUGCUAAGUCGAACGUGAAAUCCCUGGGCUCAACCCAGGAACUGCGUCCGAUACUGGUUGGCUUGAAUCCGGGAGAGGGAUGUGGAAUUCCAGGUGUAGCGGUGAAAUGCGUAGAUAUCUGGAGGAACACCGGUGGCGAAGGCGACAUCCUGGACCGACACUGACACUGAGGAGCGAAAGCCAGGGGAGCAAACGGG
rnacentral:rRNA from 1 species